UACGUAGGUCCCGAGCGUUGUCCGGAUUUAUUGGGCGUAAAGCGAACGCAGGUGGUUUAUUAAGUCUGGUGUAAAAGGCAGUGGCUCAACCAUUGUAUGCAUCGGAAACUGGUAGACUUGAGUGCAGGAGAGGAGAGUGGAAUUCCAUGUGUAGCGGUGAAAUGCGUAGAUAUAUGGAGGAACACCGGUGGCGAAAGCGGCUCUCUGGCCUGUAACUGACACUGAGGCUCGAAAGCGUGGGGAGCAAACAGG
rnacentral:rRNA from 1 species